rnacentral:pre_miRNA from 1 species
CUUAACAAAUGUAGGUAAGUGAGCUUUCUUCAGUCCACUCAUAGGUGGCAGUAAGAUUCAAUUAGCUGCCGACUCAUUCAUCCAAAUGCUGAGUAGUGAUACUCUUAAAGAUACUCAUCAAAUGAGUGAAUGAUGCGGGAGACAAAUUGAUUCUUAAGUUUCCUGUACUUGGACUGAAGGGAGCUCCCUUUUCCUUUCUAUGUAAGA